rnacentral:rRNA from 1 species
UGCGGAGGGAUCAUUACAAGAACGCCCGGGCUUCGGCCUGGUUAUUCAUAACCCUUUGUUGUCCGACUCUGUUGCCUCCGGGGCGACCCUGCCUUCGGGCGGGGGCUCCGGGUGGACACUUCAAACUCUUGCGUAACUUUGCAGUCUGAGUAAACUUAAUUAAUAAAUUAAAACUUUUAACAACGGAUCUCUUGGUUCUGGCAUCGAUGAAGAACGCAGCGAAAUGCGAUAAGUAAUGUGAAUUGCAGAAUUCAGUGAAUCAUCGAAUCUUUGAACGCACAUUGCGCCCCCUGGUAUUCCGGGGGGCAUGCCUGUUCGAGCGUCAUUUCACCACUCAAGCCUCGCUUGGUAUUGGGCAACGCGGUCCGCCGCGUGCCUCAAAUCGUCCGGCUGGGUCUUCUGUCCCCUAAGCGUUGUGGAAACUAUUCGCUAAAGGGUGUUCGGGAGGCUACGCCGUAAAACAACCCCAUUUCUAAGGUUGACCUCGGAUCAGGUAGGGAUACCCGCUGAACUUAAGC